AUUACUUUGUGCAAAUUUCCGAUCGAAUCAGCCGGAAAUAUUUUUUUAAAAACCUUCUAGCGACCCUAUUUUUUUCUUUCCCCUCUUUUCUUCCUUCUCUCUUUUCUCUCUCUCACUCAAACUUCCACCCACCCAGAUCCGCUACAUCCAUGAACCAGUAGAACUCACCGCCGCCGUCGCCGCCUAGCUGCAAGUCCGACAACGAUCCUCCACUGCCAGGUAAGUUUCCC
rnacentral:lncRNA from 1 species